UGGGCAACCUGCCCCCAGACUCUGGGAUAACUCCGGGAAACCGGAGCUAAUACCGGAUACUCCGGCUGGAUCGCAUGGUCCGGCCGGGAAAGGUCCGCCGGAGAGGGAUGGGCCCGCGGCCUAUCAGCUUGUUGGUGGGGUCAUGGCUCACCAAGGCGACGACGGGUAGCCGGCCUGAGAGGGUGACCGGCCACACUGGGACUGAGACACGGCCCAGACUCCUACGGGAGGCA
rnacentral:rRNA from 1 species